rnacentral:lncRNA from 1 species
UUGGCUUUGCAAAUUCAGCUCUACUUGAUUCAUUUUCUUGUCUUGUUCCUUGUUCCUUUUUUCAGAAGCUUUAAUAAUUUUUUCCAAGGCUUCCUCCCAAUUUUAAUGUUCUUCCUAUUGUAGUGGAGGUGGACACAAGAAAUCCUGUGGGUAUGUUGGACUUGGAGCAUAAAAUUGAUCUUGAUUGUUCCUCCAUGAAAAAUCCGAGUGAUACCCC